rnacentral:rRNA from 1 species
CCUACGGGAGGCAGCAGUGGGGAAUAUUGGGCAAUGGGCGCAAGCCUGACCCAGCAACGCCGCGUGAAGGAAGAAGGCUUUCGGGUUGUAAACUUCUUUUCUCAGGGACGAAGCAAGUGCCGGUACCUGAGGAAUAAGCAACGGCUAACUACGUGCCAGCAGCCGCGGUAAUACGUAGGUGGCAUGCGUUAUCCGGAUUUACUGGGUGUAAAGGGAGUGUAGGCGGGGACGCAAGUCAGAUGUGAAAACCAUGGGCUCAACCUGUGGUCUGCAUUUGAAACUGUGUUUCUUGAGUACUGGAGAGGCAGACGGAAUGCCUAGUGUAGCGGUGAAAUGCGUAGAUAUUAGGAGGAACACCAGUGGCGAAGGCGGUCUGCUGGACAGCAACUGACGCUGAGGCGCGAAAGCGUGGGUAGCAAACAGGAUUAGAUACCCUUGUAGUC